rnacentral:rRNA from 1 species
GACGAACGCUGGCGGCGUGCUUAACACAUGCAAGUCGAACGGAAAGGCCCUGCUUUCGUGGGGUGCUCGAGUGGCGAACGGGUGGGUAACACGUGAGUAACCUGCCCUUGACUUUGGGAUAACUUCAGGAAACUGGGGCUAAUACCGGAUAGGAGCUCCUGCUGCAUGGUGGGGGUUGGAAAGUUUCGGCGGUUGGGGAUGGACUCGCGGCUUAUCAGCUUGUUGGUGGGGUAGUGGCUUACCAAGGCUUUGACGGGUAGCCGGCCUGAGAGGGUGACCGGCCACAUUGGGACUGAGAUACGGCCCAGACUCCUACGGGAGGCAGCAGUGGGGAAUAUUGCACAAUGGGCGGAAGCCUGAUGCAGCAACGCCGCGUGCGGGAUGACGGCCUUCGGGUUGUAAACCGCUUUCGCCUGUGACGAAGCGUGAGUGACGGUAAUGGGUAAAGAAGCACCGGCUAACUACGUG